UACGAACUGUGCAAACGUUAUUCGGAAUCACUGGGCUUACAGGGUGCGUAGGCGGCUUGUUAAGUAGGGUGUGAAAGCCCCCGGCUCAACCGGGGAAUUGCGCCCUAAACUGGCGAGCUGGAGUGAGAUAGGGGUGUGUGGAACUUCCGGUGGAGCGGUGAAAUGUGUUGAUAUCGGAAGGAACGCCGGUGGCGAAAGCGGCCCGCUGGACCCUUUCUGACGCUGAGGCGCGAAAGCCAGGGGAGCAAAGCGGG
rnacentral:rRNA from 1 species